rnacentral:tRNA from 8 species
UGCUGAUAUGGCUCAGUUGGUAGAGCGCACCCUUGGUAAGGGUGAGGUCCCCAGUUCGACUCUGGGUAUCAGCACCAG